rnacentral:lncRNA from 1 species
CAACUCACCCACUCGUUUCAUUUUCCAAUUUUCUCUCUCAUCUACCUUCUCUCGUCUCUCUUCCUUUCUCUACCGUUGUCGAAGAUUGUUUCAAUGUCGGCUCUAGUUAGCUCGCCUCUAGCAUCUGAGCUAGUCAUCUUACCACUCCCGACUGCUCUAGUCCAGUAUCUACCAUCUCUAGUUCACGAGACAUCAACACUACUAGAUCCGACUUUUGCGCGCCAGAGCGAGACUCCGGAUAAGGCUCCAUCUCACAGCAAGAGGCACACUUCACCUUCAUAUGCUUCAGCUCCGGAGCUUAUGAGCCCACCCGUACCUCCAAUGAAAUCUCCCAAACCUAGGCCGAUUCCAUCCAAUCAGUGGACUUUUACCUAGUUUCAUCGAGAAAGCCAUACAGGUGCAAUAUCACUAAUAGAGAAAUUUUGUGUUCCUGUUAUUGUAUAUUCAUAUAUAAAUUUUCUGUUUUCCUUAAAAAAAUUAAUUAGGUUUUUGAAUGUUACCAAAUUAAUUUUUAAUUGAAUGUUGUCAAUAUGUUAAAAUGGCUACUGUUUUUUUUUCCUUUUUGGUUAUUGAUAGGUUUGUUUUAAUGAAAUUAUGUUGACUUUUUGUAUCUUACUUAAAAAAUGAUUUAUAGGAGCUUUGAGUAAUUUUUGGGUUUGAUAGAUUGAAAGCAGAAAUAGGGAAAUGUAGUUAAUAUUAUUUUUGUGUUUUUGGGUUAUCUGAGAGUGAAAUGGGGAAUAAUUAGGAAGUAUGUGCUCACGUGCUGCAAACAGCAUUUUCGGAGCAAUGCCAAGGAAAUUGGCUUUAUCAAGUGUUGUUGUGAAUGUCUGAAUUUCUGCUAGUGGAAAGAGGGCUUUCCUUGCUGGAAUGUUUUUGGAUUUCUACGGGCAUCUUUUUUAUUACAAAAAAGGGUUGUAAUUUAUAAAGAUUAUUCUAAUCAUCACAAAAAAAAAUGUAUGGCUUACUAUUUUAGGUUACGGUGAUGAUAAGCUAUGAUGUUGGUGUGCAGUGUGUGUAAAUUUAUUCGUAGUGACCUUUUGUGACCAAAUCUGCGUUAAUUGUGACUAGGUGUGACCAAACUUGUGUUAAUUGUGAUUGAUUGUAAUUGUAUGUGUUGCGGUGCUAGUCUGUAGUGUGUGUAGGUUUUUUCUGUCGUGACCUUCUGUGAUCAAGAUUGUAUUAGUUGUAACCAAUUUUGUGUUAACUGUGAUCGACUGUAACUAUAUAUGUUGUGGUGCUAGUCUGCAGUGUGUGCGAAUUUAUUUGUGAUGAUCAUCUGUAAUCAAAUUUGUAUUAACUGUGAUCGAUUGUGAUCAAAUUUGUGAUAAUUAUAACCAGUUGUGAUUGUAACCAACUUAAUAGUGACUUGGUCACAUAUCGUCAUAGUUACAAUUAAUUUGGUCACAGACAGUUACAAUGAAGAUAAAUUUGGUCACAUUCAGCACGCAAUACUCAAAACGUUGCUACCACCUCACCACCACUACCGCACAGAUCAAUUCCAAUGUACUAUCAUCACCUGUAACACACCAUCAUAGCUACCACGCAGAUCUAUUUCUUAAACACAGUUGCCACCCAGCAAUCACCAUCACUUGCAAAUAGAGAGACAUUUUUUAGAGAGAGAGAGAGAGAGAGAAAGCGUUUUUUUUUUUUUUUUUUUACAAGGUGUCCGGGCUUGCGUCCGACUAGAUCCUUGUCCCUGAACCUCCGGCCCCUCAGCAGCUCAGGGAGGUAAAUCGCAGGAUGUGCCCUUGUUGGCUCCCAGGUUCCCACAACUUAUUUGGACUCCUUCCGCAAAGAGAGCUCUCCUCACUGGGCGUUUGUUCACACCAAUGGCUUCCUCUCCAUAUGGCUCCCAGUGUUAACUCCAGGAAUCGAACUCCCCACGCUUGCUUCUAGCGUCCCAGCGAAGUGAUUGUUCCACCAACUCGGAUGUGCCCUGGGGGGCGAGAGAGAAAGCGUUUUGAAUUUAUGGAGGCUUCAAUCUUACCUAAAUAGUUCCCUAAAAUUGUGGAUUUUUAUCUGUGUUUUUAAAUGUAUAUGGAGAGAGAGAAAGAGAGAGAGAGAGAGCAUUUUGAAUUUCUGGAGGCUUUAAUCUUCCCUACAAAGUUACCUAAAUUGUGUGUUUCAAUUUAUGUUUGUAAAUGUAUAUAUAGAAAGAGAAAACUUUUGUCGAUA